rnacentral:rRNA from 1 species
CACGUAGGGGGCGAGCGUUGUCCGGAAUCAUUGGGCGUAAAGAGCUCGUAGGCGGCUCAGUAAGUCGGGUGUGAAACCCUCAGGCUCAACCUGGGGACGCCACUCGAUACUGCUGUGGCUAGAGUCCAGUAGGGGAGUGUGGAAUUCCCGGUGUAGCGGUGAAAUGCGCAGAUAUCGGGAGGAACACCGGUGGCGAAGGCGGUUCUCUGGGCCUGUACUGACGCUGAGGAGCGAAAGCGUGGGGAGCGAACAGG